AUUGAACGCUAGCGGGAUGCUAUACACAUGCAAGUCGAACGAGUGGCGGACGGGUGAGUAAUAUAUCGGAACGUGCCCAGUAGCGGGGGAUAACUACUCGAAAGAGUGGCUAAUACCGCCUACUAUUGGAGCGGCCGAUUUCGGAUUAGCUAGUUGGUGGGGUAAAGGCUCACCAAGGCAACGAUCCGUAGAUGGUUUGAGGGGACGACCAGCCGCACUGGGACUGAGACACGGCCCAGACUCCGACGGGAGGCAGCAGUGGGGAAUUUUGGACAAUGGGGGAAACCCUGAUACAGCAAUCCCGCGUAUGUGAGAAGGCCUUCGGGUUGUAAAGUACUUUCAGUCGGGAGGCGUUACCGACAGAUGAAGCACCGGCUAACUCCGUGCCAGCAGCCGCGGUAAUUC
rnacentral:rRNA from 1 species